rnacentral:rRNA from 1 species
UACGUAGGGGGCAAGCGUUGUCCGGAUUUAUUGGGCGUAAAGAGCGUGUAGGCGGCCAGGGAGGUCCGUUGUGAAAACUCGAGGCUCAACCUCGAGACGCCGAUGGAAACCCCCUGGCCUAGAGUCCGGAAGAGGAGAAUGGAAUUCCUGGUGUAGCGGUGAAAUGCGUAGAUAUCUGGAGGAACACCGGUGGCGAAGGCGGCAUCCUGGACCGACACUGACGCUGAGGAGCGAAAGCCAGGGGAGCAAACGGG